UACGUAGGGUGCGAGCGUUGUCCGGAAUUAUUGGGCGUAAAGGGCUCGUAGGCGGUCUGUCGCGUCGGGAGUGAAAACUCAGGGCUUAACCCUGAGCCUGCUUCCGAUACGGGCAGACUAGAGUUCGGUAGGGGAGACUGGAAUUCCUGGUGUAGCGGUGAAAUGCGCAGAUAUCAGGAGGAACACCGGUGGCGAAGGCGGGUCUCUGGGCCGAUACUGACGCUGAGGAGCGAAAGCGUGGGGAGCAAACAGG
rnacentral:rRNA from 1 species